rnacentral:rRNA from 1 species
CCUACGGGGCGCAGCAGUGAGGAAUAUUGGUCAAUGGCCGGAAGGCUGAACCAGCCAUGCCGCGUGAAGGUCAGUGCCCUAUGGGCGUUAAACUUCUUUUGUGCGGGAGCAAUAAUGGUCACGUGUGGCCAGACGAGAGUACCGUACGAAUAAGCAUCGGCUAACUCCGUGCCAGCAGCCGCGGUAAUACGGGGGAUGCAAGCGUUAUCCGGAUUUAUUGGGUUUAAAGGGUGCGUAGGCUGUGAGGUAAGUCAGCGGUGAAAUGCCCCCGCUCAACGGGGUGAAGUGCCAUUGAUACUGCCUGGCUGGAAUGCGGAUGCCGUGGGAGGAAUGUGUGGUGUAGCGGUGAAAUGCAUAGAUAUCACACAGAACACCGAUUGCGAAGGCAUCUCACGAAUCCGCGAUUGACGCUGAUGCACGAAAGCGUGGGUAUCAAACAGGAUUAGAUACCCGUGUAGUC